rnacentral:rRNA from 1 species
GAUGAACGCUGGCGGCGUGCUUAACACAUGCAAGUCGAACGAAGCUGUUGUUUGGAGACCUUCGGGUGGAAGAAUAACAGACUGAGUGGCGGACGGGUGAGUAACGCGUGGGUAACCUACCUUGCACAGGGGGACAACAGUUGGAAACGACUGCUAAUACCGCAUAAGACCACAGUACCGCAUGGUACGGGGGUAAAAACUGAGGUGGUGCAAGAUGGACCCGCGUCUGAUUAGCUAGUUGGUGGGGUAAAGGCCUACCAAGGCGACGAUCAGUAGCCGACCUGAGAGGGUGAUCGGCCACAUUGGGACUGAGACACGGCCCAAACUCCUACGGGAGGCAGCAGUGGGGAAUAUUGGACAAUGGGGGGAACCCUGAUCCAGCGACGCCGCGUGAGUGAAGAAGUAUUUCGGUAUGUAAAGCUCUAUCAGCAGGGAAGAAAAUGACGGUACCUGACUAAGAAGCCCCGGCUAACUACGUGC